rnacentral:rRNA from 1 species
GACGAACGCUGGCGGCGUGCUUAACACAUGCAAGUCGAACGGAAAGGCCUCUUUCGGGGGGUACUCGAGUGGCGAACGGGUGAGUAACACGUGAGUAACCUGCCCUUGACUUUGGGAUAACUUCAGGAAACUGGGGCUAAUACCGGAUAGGAGCUCCUGCUGCAUGGUGGGGGUUGGAAAGUUUCGGCGGUUGGGGAUGGACUCGCGGCUUAUCAGCUUGUUGGUGGGGUAGUGGCUUACCAAGGCUUUGACGGGUAGCCGGCCUGAGAGGAUGACCGGCCACAUUGGGACUGAGGUACGGCCCAGACUCCUACGGGAGGCAGCAGUGGGGAAUAUUGCACAAUGGGUGGAAGCCUGAUGCAGCAACGCCGUGUGCGGGAUGACGGCCUUCGGGUUGUAAACCGCUUUCGCUCAUGACGAAGCUUUGUGUGACGGUAGUGGGUAAAGAAGCACCGGCUAACUACGUG